GGUGUGAAGUGGUAGCUUAUUGAGGUUUUGAUUUGCAUUUCCCUAAUGAUUAGUGAUGUUGAGCAUCUUUUCAUAUGCUUGUUUACCACUUGCAUUUAUCUCCUUUGGAAAAAUGUCUAUUCUAGACCUUUGCCCAUUUUUGAGUCUAGGGUUUUGGGGUUUUUGGUUGUUGAAUUUUAGGAGUUGUGUAUAUAUUCUAGAUACCAAUCCCUUAACAUGUUUGUAAUUUGCAAGUAUCUUCUUCCAUUCUGUGGUUGCCGUUUUGUUGACAGUGUCCUUUGAUACACACAAGUUUUAAAUUUUAAUGAAGUGCAAUUCGUAUCAUUUUUUGUUGUUUCCUGUGCCUUUGGUGUCACAUUCAAGUCAUUCCCUAGUCCAGUGUCAUCAAGUUUUUCUAUGUUUUAAGUGUUUUGUAUUGUUAACUCUUAUGUUUAGGUCUUUGAGUGUUGCCAUGAGCUGUGGCGUAGGUUGCAGACCUGGCUCGGAAUUUUAUUCUUUUUGAUGCUAUCGUAAGAGGAAUUGUUUUCUUUUUUUCUUUUUUUGGCCAUGCCCAUGCCAUAUGGAAGUUCCCAGGCCAGGAUCAAACCCAUGCCACAGCAGUGAUCCAAGCUGCUGCAGUGACAAUGAUAGAUCCUUAACCCUCAGUGCCACAAGAGAACUCCUAGAAUGUUUUCUUAAUUUCUUUUUCGGACAGUUCACUGUAGAAACAGAGUUGAGUUUUGUAUCCUGCAACUUUGCUCAAUCCACUUAUUCAGCUGUCUUUUUUUUGUAGAACCUUAAGCACUUCCUAUAUAUCCAAUCAUACUAUCUGCAUAUAGAUAACUUUAUUUCUUACCCCCCAAAGAGUUCUCUAUAUGUCAUGUUAUAUUUUGAAGCUCUGACCUUAACUUUGAGAUUCAUUAAGUUUGUGUUUACAAGGAAGGAGAGGGGGUUGUCACAGAAAGUUCUAUUUGGAAGGGUGCUUAGAGGGUGCAGUUCAGCCCAAGGUCACACAGCGAAGUUGGGAGAUUGAACAGGCAUCUGAAACCUCAUCUGCAUUCCUCCUUCUAGCUUUCUAGGAGCAGACAAAGCCAAGCUGGCAGCGUGGAAAGCCCUUGCCUGGAAGGUUUCAUGGGACUGAGACUUGUUCCUUUUCUGCUUUCACCCAAAGCUUCCCUUAAACCUUAGGAAGUGGUGAAUCUGGCUGAAACCCAGUGCAUCCAUAUGGUUAAAAUAAACGUCCUGGGUGGCCUACAAUGGAAAAGAAUUGAUGAAGAGUCAGAUUUGGAAGUGGGAGAGAUAGAUUUGGAAGUUGGAGUAGUUUUGCCUUUGUGAUGUUGGGGCUUUUUAGCACCAGGUACACACAUGGUCUCAGUCUUCGGGCUGAGGGGGUCCUCCCGGUUGAACACCUCUAUACCUCUGCCAGCUGCUUGGAAAGGUGUCUGGAGGAAGGUGCGCUCUGAGGGGUAAGAUUAUGGCCCCAGACAGAUAAUAGGUGGAAUCACAGAAGACCGGAGCCCGAGGGUGGGGUGAAGGAACCAGGAGCUGUGUUAAGAGCCCAGGUUGUGAAGUAGAGGUUUGAGUUUAUAUCCUGGUCCUCUUUUCCUUUUGCCUACAAGAAAUAGUUUACUAGUGCUUACUGAGCAAGCCCUCACCAGGUGCCAGCUUUGCUAAAUGAUUUACAUACAUUUGUUUUUCUCCAAAAGUAGAGAAAACUUCUUUCCCUUUACAGUAGUCCCUUCCUUAUUUACAGGGUAUAUGUUGUAAGAGUCCCAGUGGAGGCCUGAAUCCAGGGAUAAUAGCAAACCCUAUGUAUACCAUGCUUUUUCUAUGUGUACACAUCUAUGAUUACAAAUUAGGCACGGUCAGAGAAUAUCUGAAUUGCCAGCAUCACUAUGCUUGCACUUUGGGGCUGUUAAUAAGUAAGAGAGUUACUUGAACACAAGCACUGAAGUACAGUGACAGUUGAUCUGAAAAUAGAUCAACUCCUGAGUGACUAGCAGGCAGGGCUGAAGCAUAUACAGUACAGAUAAAUUGAAAAAAAGGGAUGACUUACAUCCCUGGCCUGGAGGGUGGGAGAUUUCAUUAUGCUUCUUAGCACACACAGCAUGCAAUUUAAAAUUUAUGACUUGUCGGAGUUCCCGUCGUGGCACAGCGGAAAUGAAUCCAGCCAGGAACCAUGAGGUUGCAGGUUCAAUCCCUGGCUUCGCUCAGUGGGUUAAGGAUCCGGCAUUACCGUGAGCUGUGGUGUAGGUUGCAGACCCGGCUCGGAUCUGGCGUUGCUGUGGCUGUGGUGUAGGCUGGCAGCUGCAGCUCCGAUGAGACCCCUAGCCUGGGAACCUCCAUAUGCCAUGGUAUCCCCCUACCCCCCAUCACUGCCACUUUUACUUUUUUUCCUUUACUGUUGGACACAGGGUCUAGGUUUACACUGAUAUCCAAGGACUUGAAGCAUCAUCACGGCCCCCUUGUGAAGAACAGGAGCACAGAGUCAGGUGAUACAGUCAACUCAACAGCAGAUAUUCAAGAUGAGGGAGCACAAAUGCCUUUAAAAGCUCUUUCCUAAAUCAGAGUGUUAGAAGCAAGGUAGAUGUCCUUAUAUAAUGUUCUUAGGCUUCAGAGGAGGGGCCCUAGCUACAUUUUCCGUUAGCUUUCAUUAUCUAGAGUGCUUGCUCACUCCACAGCUCAUCAGUCUGAAGCCUAAUACAGAAGACACUUUUACUUUCAGUUCCUUGAAAAGCAUCUGUAAGAAGCCAUCUCUCCUGAGGCAGCUGAACCAUCCAAAUUACUUCCCCCUUUAGGAACAUUUAGGGAAAUAUUAAUAUUCAUUUUCCAGAUGUAAAAUGAGUAUUAAACUUAUUCUGAAGAGCCCUUCCAGCAUGUUCAUAUUCUGCCAAGCCCCAGUGUCCAGCUUGACACUGACAGAGGGAAAUGGGAAAACCAGGACCUUGGAUGAAUGGCUAAGGAAGUUGGGGCACUUUAAUCUGGGGAACUUAAGCAGGGAGGCUCCAUCUCCAAAUUCCAAAAGGAUGAGUGACCUGUGGGAAAAUCAAUAUCCUCUAUCUGGGUGUUCUGGGGAGAAAUCAGGAAGAAACCUGAUUUGGUUCAGUGGAAGAAACUCCUAGUACUCAGCCCAAACCAUGUUAGAGAGCUGGAUGCCAGUAGGUCGUGAACUGCCCAUCACUAGUUUGUGUGAGAGGGACAGACCUCAGGGUGACCGUAAAGCGAGACAGACUUGAAUUAAUAUCGCACUUAGUCCUGGCUGUGUAGGUUCAGGCAAGUAACUUAAAAUUCUGUUUCUUUACCUAUGAGAAGGGCACCUCAUUUCUUUCAUGAAUGUAUACAAAAAUUAAAAGAUGUCUGGGUUGCAGUGACAAUGUUGUUUAGUCAUUUCAUUAUGACAGAAAUGCAACCCACAGCUAGCUUAAGCAAAAGGGAAUUUACUAGCUUACAUAACAGGGAAGUCCAGAGAUGGCACUGGUUUCAGACAUGACCAGGGUA
rnacentral:lncRNA from 1 species